AUUGAACGCUGGCGGCAGGCCUAACACAUGCAAGUCGAACGAGUGGCGGACGGGUGAGUAAUGUCUGGGAAACUGCCUGAUGGAGGGGGAUAACUACUGGAAACGGUAGCUAAUACCGCAUACCAUCGGAUGUGCCCAGAUGGGAUUAGCUAGUGGGUGGGGUAACGGCUCACCAAGGCGAAGAUCCCUAGCUGGUCUGAGAGGAUGACCAGCCACACUGGAACUGAGACACGGCCCAGACUCCUACGGGAGGCAGCAGUGGGGAAUAUUGCACAAUGGGCGCAAGUCUGAUGGAGCAAUGCCGCGUGUAUGAAGAAGGUCUUCGGGUUGUAAAGCACUGUAAGUGGGGAGGCGGUAAUCGAAGAAGAAGCACCGGCUAACUCCGUGCCAGCAGCCGCGGUAAUUC
rnacentral:rRNA from 1 species